AGUGUUUUCUUCACUCAUGGUGAAGAAUGGGGGAGAUAGAAGGAACAUACAGAGUCCUGCAGACUGCAGGGACACGCUUGGGUGCCCAGACCCCUGUGGGAGUUAGCACCCUUGAGCCUGGGCAGACUCUCUUGCCCAGAAUGCAAGAGAAGCACCUGCACCUCAGAGUAAAGCUGCUGGACAACACCAUGGAAAUAUUUGACAUUGAGAACUAGUCUUCUCUUUUAUACUUGGGAAACAGAGGGACAGAGAUGUUUUUGAAAGACGUACCCAAUACUAGAGGCUCCAGCCAGAGCAGCUGGGAAGAAAGAAAAGGAGGGAGGAGAAAAGAAAGGAAGAGAGGGAGGCCGUCCCCACUGGAAAGGAGCCUAAAUGCGAUGGCCAGGUAUUACUGACACAAGUGUGGAAGCGUUUAAACCUGGUAGAAUGUGACUACUUCGGG
rnacentral:sRNA from 1 species